AGAUGGGCCCUCGACUCCCCUUAUGACGGCGCAAGCUCGAAAAAGGUAUAGUGAUGGCUACGUGGAGGUACGACUGUGGUGGCGUACGGCGCUGGAGGUGCUGGAGGCUGGUUGCGGGGCAAGAGGCCCCUAGGAUUUCUAAGAAUGUUUUAAUUUUUGGGUCAUUUGGGCCUUGUAUUUUUUGGGCAGGUUUUGGGUUAUAAAUUGGGCUUGUUAUAUUGUAAUGGACUGUAAAAAAAAAUUUAGGCUUUUAUUUCUAUUUAUUAUAUUUUGUUUGUGGGUCUUAGGCCUGGGCCAAAAUUGGCCUAUUACAA